rnacentral:rRNA from 1 species
AUACGGAGGGUGCGAGCGUUAAUCGGAAUUACCGGGCGUAAAGCGCGCGUAGGCGGUUCGAUAAGUCUGAUGUGAAAGCCCUGGGCUUAACCUGGGAAUGGCAUUGGAUACUGUUGAACUAGAGUGCGGGAGAGGAGAGUGGAAUUCUCGGUGUAGCGGUGAAAUGCGUAGAUAUCGGGAGGAACACCAGUGGCGAAGGCGGCUCUCUGGACUGACACUGACGCUGAGGUGCGAAAGCGCGGGUAGCAAACAGGAUUAGAAACCCCAGUAGUCC